rnacentral:rRNA from 1 species
CUACGGGACGCAGCAGCAGGGAAUAUUGCACAAUGGACGGAAGUCUGAUGCAGCGACGCCGCGUGGAUGAUGAAGGCCUUCGGGUUGUAAAAUCCUUUUCAGGGAGAAGAGGAAGGACGGUAUCCCUGGAAUAAGCGUCGGCUAACUACGUGCCAGCAGCCGCGGUAAUACGUAGGACGCAAGCGUUAUCCGGAUUUACUGGGCGUAAAGCGUCUGUAGGCGGUUUAGUAAGUUUGAUGUGAAAGCUCCAGGCUCAACUUGGAGAGUGCAUUGAAUACUGCUAGACUUGAGGGGAUCAGAGGAAAGCGGAAUUUCCGGUGUAGCGGUAAAAUGCGCAGAUAUCGGAAAGAACACCAGUGGCGAAGGCGGCUUUCUGGGAUCAACCUGACGCUGAGAGACGAAAGCUAGGGUAGCGAACAGGAUUAGAUACCCUCGUAGUC